UUAACAAAAGCAGCGGGGGCCGCCCGCUUUUACAAAAUAAAAUUAUACCAACAGACGAGAGCAAACAAGAGCAAUUAAUUUUCAAAUACUAUCCCACCGUGUGCCAUCAAUUUGUCACCGAAAUACAUAUUUGCUGACUCUGCUAAUCUACGCAAAGUUACAAAGGAAAGGUGUAGACUUCAAAGUUGAGAACGUGCAAUACCGAAUAUCGCUUGAUAAUGAUGCGCCUGACCAUACAACGACCUGACGAUGCAAAAACAAAGCCGGCUGCUGUGUAAUCUUAUCAAGCGGCGGCUUGGGCCUGCCCGCCUAGUAACGUAACAUUCGACAGGUGAUCUGGCAUCAGUGUAACCUGAACCGCUUACGAAAUUUAUUGUAAGAAGGGCCUGCCGCUGGAGCACCGUCAUUUG